rnacentral:rRNA from 1 species
UACGGGGGGGGCAAGCGUUGUUCGGAAUUACUGGGCGUAAAGGGCGCGUAGGCGGCCUGCUAAGUCGAACGUGAAAUCCCCGGGCUCAACCCGGGAACUGCGUCCGAUACUGGCAGGCUUGAAUCCGGGAGAGGGAUGUGGAAUUCCAGGUGUAGCGGUGAAAUGCGUAGAGAUGUGGAGGAACACCGAUGGCGAAGGCAGCCCCCUGGGUCAAAACUGACGCUCAUGCACGAAAGCGUGGGGAGCAAACAGG